rnacentral:misc_RNA from 1 species
CGGGAGGACCCCCGCUGUUGUGCGGCCGACUGCCGGUGCCAGUGUCCCUUCAAUCGUUGGCUAUUUGUGUGCCUAUCGAUUUGACGAGUGCUUGCGUGCUGCUACCAGUAACGCUGGAAGUUGCAUUGCUGAAAGUUGGUGUUGCCGUGCAUGCCCUUAGGCCAUGUCACGUCAAUUAUAAAGCGUUCAUGGCGUUGCCUCGUGUACGUGGCCGCAUAGGCUAGCGUCAUCAAGGCUACCUCAUGGUCGCUAUUGGUCCUGGAUGUGGCUAACUCUAGAGGCUGAAGGUGUUUUGGCACCUCAUGCCUAGAAAAUAUUGUCCGAUCGGAAACAACGACAGUUGGCCUGGCUGAUGCCUUGUGCGGAAGCUAGUGCU